GGCUGUAUAGCUUAAAUUUAGAGCGUUGGUUUUGUAAUCCUUUGGUGCAGAUAUGCUAUAGCCU
rnacentral:tRNA from 1 species